AAUUCAAGAUUAUAGCCAUCUUCAACAUCUGGGCUUCAGCUGCAUUUUUGGGCAAAAAAUAUGUAACAUUGGUGAUGCAGUCAUCGGCUCCUAACCGAGGUUCUCCGUGGGUGUGAAAAGUGUACCAACUGCCAAAAGUCUAAUCUAGAGAAUACUGUGGGUGUGUUAACAAUGGCUGGUAAAAGGUUUUCCGUUUUCGUGGUUUGGUCACUCCCAUCUUGGCUUGCAUGCAUGGUUUAGAAGUAGGCGAUGAGAUGAACUUGGCAGCUGGGAUUUAGGUUGCCCAGUUGGCACAUAAGCAUCGCCAGAACAAAAAAAAAAAAACCAACAACAAUGGAUAAUCGUGUUUGCAGGAGGGUUAGGGAAAUUGAGAGAGAAGCACAUGAAGAAGUCGGAACUCUGCCAGAGAAAGAUGCUAAACAAUAUGUUGCCCUUGACUUGAUUUCAAGGCUGAAGAACCAUCGGUUUUACGAUGAUGAUGAUAAUCCAAAAGGUAGUUUCUUUCUUGAAUUCAAGUGAAGAAAUUUUACCCUAUGUUUUUAGAGGUGGCUAAACAUGUUGGUUGAGUAACGGGUUAAAAUGAGUUUGGGUCUAAACAAGUCGGGUCGGGUUUUUUUGAGUUGCCAACUUUUUUUUUUCAUGUUUAUAUUUAGAUUUUAGAUAUGAAUAGCACUUGUAUCAUUAACUUGGUAGCGUAUUUAUUUCAGAUUAUACAGCACCUAGGAUUGCAAGUAUAUAAGGAAAGUUCAAACCUUUAUACUUGACCCGUUAUCAAAUAAAUUCCAACCCAGUUUAACCAGUUUUCAUAUGAACGAUUUAAGAAUUAAGAUUGCCAGUUCGCCAUACCUUGUUAUUGGAGUCCAAUUGUUUCCUGCUUUAUACUUUCAUAGUAUGUGAUACAUGUUAAGAGAAAGAUGUACGCUUUGACAUAUAAAGUCAAAAUAAUUCCUUACAUUUUCAAAUUGAAGAUGGAUUUUGUUACUUAUUUAAUUAUAUAAAUUUCCAAUUA